UGAGUAACGCGUGAGGAACCUGCCUUCCAGAGGGGGACAACAGUUGGAAACGACUGCUAAUACCGCAUGAUGCGUUGGAGCCGCAUGACUCCGACGUCAAAGAUUUAUCGCUGGAAGAUGGCCUCGCGUCUGAUUAGCUAGUUGGUGAGGUAACGGCCCACCAAGGCGACGAUCAGUAGCCGGACUGAGAGGUUGGCCGGCCACAUUGGGACUGAGAUACGGCCCAGACUCCUACGGGAGGCAGCAG
rnacentral:rRNA from 1 species